AUUGAACGCUGGCGGCAGGCUUAACACAUGCAAGUCGAACGAGUGGCGGACGGGUGAGUAAUGCUUGGGAAUCUGGCUUAUGGAGGGGGAUAACGACGGGAAACUGUCGCUAAUACCGCGUACCAUAGGAUGAGCCCAAGUGGGAUUAGGUAGUUGGUGGGGUAAUGGCCUACCAAGCCGACGAUCUCUAGCUGGUAUGAGAGGAUUACCGACCAAACCAGGACGGAGACACGGCCCGUACUCCUGCGGAUGGCAGCAGUGGGGAAUAUUGCGCAAUAGGGGGUACCGGACGCAGCCGUGCCGCGUUAAUGAAGAAGGCCUUCGGGGUGUAAAAUUCUAUCGGUGACGAAGCGCGAAUCACAGAAGAAGCAACGGCUAACUCCGUGCCAGCAGCCGCGGUAAUAC
rnacentral:rRNA from 1 species